rnacentral:rRNA from 1 species
ACUCCUACGGGAGGCAGCAGUGGGGAAUAUUGGACAAUGGGCGCAAGCCUGAUCCAGCCAUGCCGCGUGAGUGAUGAAGGCCCUAGGGUUGUAAAGCUCUUUCACCGGUGAAGAUAAUGACGGUAACCGGAGAAGAAGCCCCGGCUAACUUCGUGCCAGCAGCCGCGGUAAUACGAAGGGGGCUAGCGUUGUUCGGAUUUACUGGGCGUAAAGCGCACGUAGGCGGACUAUUAAGUCAGGGGUGAAAUCCCGGGGCUCAACCCCGGAACUGCCUUUGAUACUGGUAGUCUUGAGUUCGAGAGAGGUGAGUGGAAUUCCGAGUGUAGAGGUGAAAUUCGUAGAUAUUCGGAGGAACACCAGUGGCGAAGGCGGCUCACUGGCUCGAUACUGACGCUGAGGUGCGAAAGCGUGGGGAGCAAACAGGAUUAGAAACCCGAGUAGUCCCAUG